UAGCACAUAGACUUGCUUGUUUUCUAUGCUUCUUCAGCAACUCACUUUAAAACCUCAAUUGCAGGAAUAGAAGGAAGCAGUGAGUGGAGGUUUUGGUCUAAGACAUCGGAAGCUUAAGCUUUAAAGGAACUCCGAGGAUGUUUAGUAGGCUUUUAGGAAAGCCCAAAGAGCAAACCAGCGCCUUGGCAACUAUCGAGAAAUUAUAUGAGACACUUGAAAUGCUCGAGAAAAAGGAGAAAGUUCUCCUUAAGAAGUCUGAUGUUGAGAUCGAAAAGGCUAAACAAUUCACCAAAACUAAAAACAAAAGAGACUCGAGUUUACUUGAUACUAGAAUAUGCAGCUAAAGGUGAACUCUA